GAUGAACGCUGGCGGCGUGCCUAAUACAUGCAAGUCGAGCGAACAGAUGAGGAUCUUGCUCCUCUGACGUUAGCGGCGGACGGGUGAGUAACACGUGGAUAACCUACCUAUAAGACUGGGAUAACUUCGGGAAACCGGAUCUAAUACCGGAUAAUAUAUUGAACCGCAUGGUUCAAUAGUGAAAGACGGUUUUGCUGUCACUUAUAGAUGGAUCCGCGCCGCAUUAGCUAGUUGGUAAGGUAACGGCUUACCAAGGCGACGAUGCGUAGCCGACCUGAGAGGGUGAUCGGCCACACUGGAACUGAGACACGGUCCAGACUCCUACGGGAGGCAGCAGUAGGGAAUCUUCCGCAAUGGGCGAAAGCCUGACGGAGCAACGCCGCGUGAGUGAUGAAGGUCUUCGGAUCGUAAAACUCUGUUAUUAGGGAAGAACAAAUGUGUAAGUAACUAUGCACGUCUUGACGGUACCUAAUCAGAAAGCCACGGCUAACUACGUG
rnacentral:rRNA from 1 species